GAAUAUUGCACAAUGGGCGAAAGCCUGAUGCAGCAACGCCGCGUGAGCGAUGAAGGCCUUCGGGUCGUAAAGCUCUGUCCUCAAGGAAGAUAAUGACGGUACUUGAGGAGGAAGCCCCGGCUAACUAAGUGCCAGCAGCCGCGGUAAUACGUAGGGGGCGAGCGUUAUCCGGAUUUACUGGGCGUAAAGGGUGCGUAGGCGGUCUUUCAAGUCAGGAGUGAAAGGCUACGGCUCAACCGUAGUAAGCUCUUGAAACUGUAAGACUUGAGUGCAGGAGAGGAGAGUGGAAUUCCUAGUGUAGCGGUGAAAUGCGUAGAUAUUAGGAGGAACACCAGUUGCGAAGGCGGCUCUCUGGACUGUAACUGACGCUGAGGCACGAAAGCGUGGGGAGCAAACA
rnacentral:rRNA from 1 species